CAAGACACUGGCCACUUACUCCUUGUGAUGGUGCUGAACAAGCAGAGAAGGCAGAGUCCCUCCUACUGUGGAUUUCUCACUCCUGUGACCAAAUGUCCACCCCCUUCCCAACUGCGAGAGGACUCACGCUGCUCUCAGCCUGAGGCAGAGAAGCUCUUCAGUAGAAGGCAGCAGCUAUUGCACAGACUCCUACAUGGUCAGAAUAUGGGGAACAAGAGUGAGCCCUCAGCCUUAAAUGGGUUAUCUGUCAUACACACCUAAGGCCCAGAGAACAUUUGCAGAAGGAGGGCAGAAAAACAAACAAACAACAACAAAACAAAACAAAACAAAACAAAAAAACGAACAAACAGAAAAACAAGAGCAGGAGGAUAGGAAGGGGUGUCAGGAACUGCUUCUGUGCAGAUCCAGCAUUGCUAUUGAAACCAUGAGCUCACAGCAGCUAUGGACACCUGCAGAAGACUUGGGCCACAGGAGUUCCCAUCUCUGUUGAAGAACUAAAGGCAGAAUCCAGACUUAUGCUAUAUGACAUGAGAGUCGAAGGGUGACCAAUGUCAGGGGAGAAAUGGCACCCAGCCGUGGUGAGGAAGAGAGGAUAUUGGGGCAGAACCCACUACACGUCAGGCGUGUUGCCAAGUGUUGGAGAGGAUAUACAGUUGAAGAAAUUCCCUUUCCAGUCUGAGGCUGCUGAAGCCCAGAAAGAAGGUCAACUAAUGAUGGCACCGCAUGUCAAAAAGAACAUAGGCAA
rnacentral:lncRNA from 1 species